rnacentral:rRNA from 1 species
GCUAGUAAUGGCAGGUCAGCAUACUGCCGUGAGUACGUUCCCGGGCCUUGUACACACCGCCCGUCACACCAUGAGAGUUGGGGAUACCCGAAGCCUGUGAGCUAACUAUUUAUAGGAGCAGCAGUCGAAGGUAGAAUCAAUGAUUGGGGUGAAGUCGUAACAAGGUAAC